GGUAGUCCACGCCGUAAACGAUGUCGACUUGGAGGUUGUGCCCUUGAGGCGUGGCUUCCGGAGCUAACGCGUUAAGUCGACCGCCUGGGGAGUACGGCCGCAAGGUUAAAACUCAAAUGAAUUGACGGGGGCCCGCACAAGCGGUGGAGCAUGUGGUUUAAUUCGAUGCAACGCGAAGAACCUUACCUACUCUUGACAUCCAGAGAACUUAGCAGAGAUGCUUUGGUGCCUUCGGGAACUCUGAGACAGGUGCUGCAUGGCUGUCGUCAGCUCGUGUUGUGAAAUGUUGGGUUAAGUCCCGCAUCGAGCGCAACCCUUAUCCUUUGUUGCCAGCGGUUAGGCCGGGAACUCAAAGGAGACUGCCAGUGAUAAACUGGAGGAAGGUGGGGAUGACGUCAAGUCAUCAUGGCCCUUACGAGUAGGGCUACACACGUGCUACAAUGGCGCAUACAAAGAGAAGCGACCUCGCGAGAGCAAGCGGACCUCAUAAAGUGCGUCGUAGUCCGGAUUGGAGUCUGCAACUCGACUCCAUGAAGUCGGAAUCGCUAGUAAUCGUAGAUCAGAAUGCUACGGUGAAUACGUUCCCGGGCCUUGUACACACCGCCCGUCACACCAUGGGAGUGGGUUGCAAAAGAAGUAGGUAGCUUAACCUUCGGGAGGGCGCUUACCACUUUGUGAUUCAUGACUGGGGUGAAGUCGUAACAAGGUAACCGUAGGGGAACCUGC
rnacentral:rRNA from 1 species